GGGGUUUUCAAUGGUUUCUUAAGUUCUGAGUUGAAGUAAAAGCAAUUUUUCAAAACCUGCCAGAAACUGACAUCUGGGAGGAGUCUGGGAUGAGACCAUCAUUACAAUACUCAGUGAAACUGCUGUUCCUGAGAAGAAAGUGUCCUCACUUGCAUUUUGACGUCAAUCAUAUAUCCCCAUCUUAAAGGCAAGGUGUUCGCAGUGUUAUGAGCUGUUGCAAGAGGAACACACCUUUGCACAACUUUGCUUUCAUCCUGUCUCUGCUAGAUGAUUGUAUCCCUGUGGAAGAAAGAGCUAACAGCCACACUGCUACCUUGUGUAAGGUUUCCUUACUAUAGAUGAAGCGAGUGGGAGGAUAGCAAACUCC
ensembl:lncRNA